UACAGAGGGGGCAAGCGUUGUUCGGAAUUACUGGGCGUAAAGGGCGCGUAGGCGGCCUGUUAAGUCGAACGUGAAAUCCCCGGGCUCAACCCGGGAACUGCGUCCGAUACUGGUAGGCUUGAAUCCGGGAGAGGGAUGCGGAAUUCCAGGUGUAGCGGUGAAAUGCGUAGAUAUCUGGAGGAACACCGGUGGCGAAGGCGGCAUCCUGGACCGGCAUUGACGCUGAGGCGCGAAAGCCAGGGGAGCGAACCGG
rnacentral:rRNA from 1 species